UACGAGGGGGGCAAGCGUUGUUCGGAAUUAUUGGGCGUAAAGGGUGCGUAGGCUGUGCGGUAAGUCACCUGUGAAAACUCUGGGCUCAACCCAGAGCCUGCAGGCGAAACUGCCGUGCUGGAGUAUGGGAGAGGUGCGUGGAAUUCCCGGUGUAGCGGUGAAAUGCGUAGAUAUUCGCAAGAACACCAGUGGCGAAGGCGGCUCACUGGCCCGGUACUGACGCUGAGGCACGAAAGCGUGGGGAGCAAACAGG
rnacentral:rRNA from 1 species